rnacentral:rRNA from 1 species
GGCUCAGGAUGAACGCUAGCGGCAGGCUUAACACAUGCAAGUCGAGGGGCAUCGGGAGUAGCAAUACUGCCGGCGACCGGCGCAAGGGUGCGUAACGCGUGAGCAACAUGCCCGUAUCAGGGGGAUAAUCCAUGGAAACGUGGUCUAAUACCCCAUAGUAAUUAUGUAAGGCAUCUUAUAUAAUUUAAAGCUUUGGUGGAUACGGAUUGGCUCGCGUGACAUUAGCUGGAUGGUAAGGUAACGGCUUACCAUGGCUACGAUGUCUAGGGGUUCUGAGAGGAAGGUCCCCCCACACUGGAACUGAGACACGGUCCAGACUCCUACGGGAGGCAGCAGUGAGGAAUAUUGGACAAUGGAUGGAAAUCUGAUCCAGCCAUGCCGCGUGCAGGGAAAGACGGCCCUAUGGGUUGUAAACUGCUUUUGUAUGGGAGCAAUAAGGGCUACGUGUAGUCCGAUGAGAGUACCAUACGAAUAAGCACCGGCUAACUCCGUGCCAGCCGCUGC